CCUACGGGAGGCAGCAGUGAGGAAUAUUGGUCAAUGGGCGCGAGCCUGAACCAGCCAAGUCGCGUGAGUGAAGACGGUCCUAUGGAUUGUAAACCUCUUUUGUCGGGGAGCAAAAGACGCCACGCGUGGCGUUCCGAGAGUACCCGAAGAAAAAGCAUCGGCUAACUCCGUGCCAGCAGCCGCGGUACUACGGAGGAUGCGAGCGUUAUCCGGGUUUAUUGGGUUUAAAGGGUGCGCAGGCGGAAGAUCAAGUCAGCGGUAAAAUUGAGAGGCUCAACCUCUUCGAGCCGUUGAAACUGGUGGUCUGGAGUGAGUGAGAAGUAUGCGGAAUGCGUGGUGUAGCGGUGAAAUGCAUAGAUAUCACGCAGAACUCCGAUUGCGAAGGCAGCAUACCGGCGCUCAACUGACGCUCAUGCACGAAAGUGUGGGUAUCGAACAGGAUUAGAUACCCCUGUAGUC
rnacentral:rRNA from 1 species